rnacentral:rRNA from 1 species
ACGCACGCUGGCGGCGUGCUUAACACCUGCAAGUCGAACGGAAAGGCCCCUUUGGGGGUACUCGAGUGGCGAACGGGUGAGUAACACGUGAGUAACCUGCCCUUGACUUCGGGAUAACUUCAGGAAACUGGGGCUAAUACCGGAUAGGAAUCCUUGCUGCAUGGUGGGGGUUGGAAAGCUUCGGCGGUUUUGGAUGGACUCGCGGCUUAUCAGCUUGUUGGUGGGGUAGUGGCUUACCAAGGCUUUGACGGGUAGCCGGCCUGAGAGGGCGACCGGCCACAUUGGGACUGAGAUACGGCCCAGACUCCUACGGGAGGCAGCAGUGGGGAAUAUUGCACAAUGGGCGGAAGCCUGAUGCAGCAACGCCGCGGGCGGGAUGACGGCCUUCGGGUUGUAAACCGCUUUCAGCAGGGGCGAAGCUUGUGGUGACGGUACCUGCAGAAGAAGCACCGGCUAACUACGUG